CCUACGGGAGGCAGCAGUAAGGAAUAUUGGACAAUGCUCGCAAGAGUGAUCCAGCCAUGCCGCGUGCAGGAAGAAUGCCCUAUGGGUAGUAAACUGCUUUUGAACUAGAGAAAACCCCAGUACGUGUACUGGGCUGAUAGUAUAGUUAGAAUAAGCAUCGGCUAACUUCGUGCCAGCAGCCGCGGUAAGACGAAGGAUGCAAGCGUUAUCCGGAUUCAUUGGGUUUAAAGGGAGCGUAGGUGGACUUAUAAGUCAGUGGUGAAAUCUCCGAGCUUAACUCGGAAAUUGCCAUUGAUACUGUAGGUCUUGAGUACAGUUGCUGUGGGCGGAAUAUGACAUGUAGUGGUGAAAUACAUAGAGAUGUCAUAGAACACCGAUUGCGAAGGCAGCUCACAAAGCUGUAACUGACACUGAGGCUCGAAAGUGCGGGGAUCAAACAGGAUUAGAUACCCUGGUAGUCCGCACCGUAAACGAUGAUUACUCGCUGCUAGGGGGCAACCUUUAGUGGCUUAGCGAAAGCGAUAAGUAAUCCACCUGGGGAGUACGCCGGCAACGGUGAAACGUCAAAGGAAUUGACGG
rnacentral:rRNA from 1 species